GAUGAACGCUGGCGGCGUGCCUAAUACAUGCAAGUCGAGCGAACAGACGAGGAGCUUGCUCCUCUGACGUUAGCGGCGGACGGGUGAGUAACACGUGGAUAACCUACCUAUAAGACUGGGAUAACUUCGGGAAACCGGGGCUAAUACCGGAUAAUAUAUUGAACCGCAUGGUUCAAUAGUGAAAGACGGUUUUGCUGUCACUUAUAGAUGGAUCCGCGCCGCAUUAGCUAGUUGGUAAGGUAACGGCUUACCAAGGCAACGAUGCGUAGCCGACCUGAGAGGGUGAUAGGACACACUGGAACUGAGACACGGUCCAGACUCCUACGGGAGGCAGCAGUAGGGAAUCUUCCGCAAUGGGCGAAAGCCUGACGGAGCAACGCCGCGUGAGUGAUGAAGGUCUUCGGAUCGUAAAACUCUGUUAUUAGGGAAGAACAAAUGUGUAAGUAACUAUGCACGUCUUGACGGUACCUAAUCAGAAAGCCACGGCUAACUACGUG
rnacentral:rRNA from 1 species